UGGCUAUGUCACAUAGAAACAUCGGUUCUCAAGCGAUCACUGAAGUUAAGCGACGUCGACCCUUAGUCAGUAUCUAUAUGGGUGACCACCUGGGAAUACCAGGUGCUGUAA